UGGGGUACAGGUUAGUCGAGGUAGGUGGGGUACAGGUUAGUCGAGGUCGGUAGGGGUACAGGUUAGUCGAGGUCAGUAGGGGUACAGGUUAGUCGAGGUAGGUAGGGGUACAGGUUAGUCGAGGUAGGUAGGGUACAGGUUAGUCGAGGUAGGUGGGGUACAGGUUAGUCGAGGUCGGUAGGGGUACAGGUUAGUCGAGUUAGGUGGGGUACAGGUUAGUCGAGGUAGGUAGGGGUACAGGUUAGUCGAGGUCGGUAGGGGUACAGGUUAGUCAAUAUGUGGGGGUACAGGUUAGUCGAGGUCAGUAGGGGUACAGGUUAGUCGAGGUAGGUAGGGGUACAGGUUAGUCGAGGUAGGUAGGGUACAGGUUAGUCGAGGUAGGUGGGGUACAGGUUAGUCGAGGUCGGUAGGGGUACAGGUUAGUCAAUAUGUGGGGGUACAGGUUAGUCGAGGUCGGUAGGGGUACAGGUUAGUCGAGGUAGGUAGGGGUACAGGUUAGUCGAGGUAGGUAGGGUACAGGUUAGUCGAGGUAGAUGGGGUACAGGUUAGUCGAGUUAGGUGGGGUACAGCAUAGUCGAGGUAGGUAGGGGUACAGGUUAGUCGAGGUCGGUAGGGGUAUAGGUUAGUCAAUGUGUGGGGGUACAGGUUAGUCAAGGUCGGUAGGGGUACAGGUUAGUCAAUGUGCGGGGGUACAGGUUAGUCGAGGUCGGUAGGGGUACAGGUUAGUCAAUGUGCGGGGGUACAGGUUAGUCGAGGUCGGUAGGGGUACAGGUUAGUCAAUGUGCGGGGGUACAGGUUAGUCGAGGUAGGUGGGGUAUACUCCUCAAUGCCAUUAGAUAAAUCACGGCACAUAUUCCAGUCUAUGCAAAACAGUCCUGUAGCAUAGCAUCUGCGUCACCUGACCCCUUCCAUAUUGAGAAAGUCACUGGUACUUCCUG
ensembl:lncRNA